AUUCACGGUGUCUUGGAUGGAGGACGAGAAGGGAAUGGCAAGCUCCUUCAGCUCGUUCUGUCCGGUGAGAAGUGAUCAA
ensembl:miRNA